rnacentral:lncRNA from 1 species
AUGCACAGCCUGCCUCGCUCGCGGCCCGCGGCACGGAACGCUGCCUCCACCCACAGCACUCCAGCAACUGGGAAGCAACCGAGGGAAUUCCAGCUCGGGGGGCAACGGGGAAGGGAAGGCUCCGAGCGCCGGAGCCCCAGCCCGCGCCUGCCGCAGAGGCGAGGCCGCGGAGCCCACCCGCAGGCGGCCAUGACCCCACCUGGAGACGCCCAUGCCCGCUCCCCGCGCCCCGGGGACAAAGCCCGAGCCCGCACCGCAGCGCACCGCAGCCCUGCACCCGGGCCGCCCUUCAGGACGCCGGCACCAGCCCCGACCGGCAGGCACCCACCUUGUCCCCACUCCGACGCCGCCCGGGAAUGCGGCCGGCGCCGGAGCUCAGGCUGGGCACACGUGCACCCACACCCACCACGGGCGGGGUCCCCUCACACCCCCCUCGGGCAGGGGCACACUCACACCCACCUAGGGCCGGGCACACUCACACUCCCCUCGGGCAGGGGCACAUCCACACCCCCCUGGGGCCGGGCACACUCACACCCACCGUGGACAGGGGCACACCCACACCCACAUUGGGGCCGGGCACACUCACACCCACCUAGGGCAGGGACACAACCCACCUUGGACAGGGGUACAGUCACACCCACUUCGGGUCGGGCACACGCGCACUCACCCACCCUCACACUCCCAGCCCGGCCCGUCGGCGCGCACCCGGGCCCCGUGCGGCCUCGGCCCCUCGCGCCUCGGCGCCCCCCGCCCGUCCUGGCCCCGCACGCCCACGCCCCCUCCCUCCAGGGCCCAGUCACCUCCCCUCCCGCCGCUGCAGUAGCCGCGGGCCUGGAUUCCUCGCGCUCCCGGGCCUGGAGCCUCCGCCGAGGCUGGGCCAGGACCACGGGGACCGCAGCGCCGGCCCCUCCGCCAUCUUCCCGGCCCGCGCCGCCCACCGCCCGCCGCCCGCGCUCUCACCGGCCGGCUGCGCGCGGGCCGCGCCGCCACACUCCCUCAUCCCGGCCCGCGCGACGCGCGUGA